UGAGUACGAGAUGCUACGGCAUCGAAGCAGUCUAUGUCAUACUUCCAAGAAAAGCUUGCAAUGUCAUAAACAAAUAAUGCCUGUACCAUAACCGACACAGGUGGGUAGGUAGAGUAUACUAAGGGGCGCGAGAUAACUCUCUCUAAGGAACUCGGCAAAAUGACUCCGUAACUUCGGGAGAAGGAGUGCCUUAUUUUUAUAAGGUUGCAAUAACAAGAUCCAAGCAACUGUUUACCAAAAACACAGGUCUCCGCUAAGUCGUAAGACGAUGUAUGGGGGCUGACGCCUGCCCAGUGCCAGAAGGUUAAAGAAGUUGGUUAGCAUUAGCGAAGCUGAUAACUGAAGCCCUGGUGAACGGCGGCCGUAACAAUAACGAUCCUAAGGUAGCGAAAUUCCUUGUCGGGUAAGUUCCGACCCGCACGAAAGGCGUAAUGAUUUGGAUACUGUCUCGGAGAGGGGCUCGGUGAAAUAGACUUGUCUGUGAAGAUGCGGACUACCUGCACCUGGACAGAAAGACCCUAUGAAGCUUUACUGUAACUUGAGAUUGAAAUUGGACUUUAUCUGCGCAGUAUAGGUGGGAGACGUUGAAAAUAUUCUUGCGGGAAUAUUGGAGUCAUCAGUGAGAUACCACUCUUAUAAUGUUAGAUUUCUAACUUUGUAUCAUUAUCUGGUCAAAGAACAGUUUCAGGCGGGCAGUUUGACUGGGGCGGUCGCCUCCCAAACGGUAACGGAGGCGCACAAAGGUUUCCUCUGAACGUGUAGAAAUCGUAUCUAGAGUGUAAAGGCAUAAGGAAGCUUGACUGUGAGACCUACAAGUCGAGCAGGGACGAAAGUCGGUCUUAGUGAUCUGACGGUGCUGAGUGGAAAGGCCGUCACUCAACGGAUAAAAGUUACUCUAGGAUAACAGGCUGAUCUCCCCCAAGAGUUCACAUCGACGGGGAGGUUUGGCACCUUGAUGUCGGCUCAUCGCAUCCUGGGGCGGUAGUACUUCCCAAGGGUUGGGCUGUUCGCCCAUGAAAGCGGUACGCGAGCUGGGUUCAGAACGUCGUGAGACAGUUCGGUCCAUAUCCGGUGUAGGCGUUAGAAUAUUGAGAGGAGCCUUCUUUAGUACGAGAGGACCGAGAAGGACAUACCUCUGGUGUACCAGUUAUCGUGCCAACGGUAAACGCUGGGUAGCCAUGUAUGGAGAGGAUAACCGCUGAAAGCAUCUAAGUGGGAAGCCCACCUCAAGAUAAGUAUUCUCAUC
rnacentral:rRNA from 1 species